GAUGAACGCUGGCGGCGUGCCUAAUACAUGCAAGUCGAGCGAACAGACGAGGAGCUUGCUCCUCUGACGUUAGCGGCGGACGGGUGAGUAACACGUGGAUAACCUACCUAUAAGACUGGUAUAACUUCGGGAAACCGGAGCUAAUACCGGAUAAUAUAUUGAACCGCAUGGUUCAAUAGUGAAAGACGGUUUUGCUGUCACUUAUAGAUGGAUCCGCGCCGCAUUAGCUAGUUGGUAAGGUAACGGCUUACCAAGGCAACGAUGCGUAGCCGACCUGAGAGGGGGAUCGGCCAAACUGGAACUGAGACACGGUACAGACUCCUACGGGAGGCAGCAGUAGGGAAUCUUCCGCAAUGGGCAAAAGCCUGACGGAGCAACGCCGCGUGAGUGAUGAAGGUCUUCGGAUCGUAAAACUCUGUUAUUAGGGAAGAACAAAUGUGUAAGUAACUAUGCACGUCUUGACGGUACCUAAUCAGAAAGCCACGGCUAACUACGUG
rnacentral:rRNA from 1 species